AUACGGCCACAUCACGUUGAAACACCGGUUCCCGUACGAUCACCGGCGUUAAGCAACGUCGAACCUAGUUAGUGCUUUUAUGGGUGACUGCUUGGGGAUACCAGUUACUGUAAG